CUUGAGUCUGUGAAGACAAAAUAAAAACUAUACUUGAAUCUCUUCCUAACUUAUUGGGCUAAAUGACAAUGGCAGAAUGCAAUUUCAGAAUUUCAUUCGAUGGGCAAUUUCAGUGUUUUGAUGUGUUUUGUUGCUUCAUUUUGCAGAUGUUUCCAUAAAGAGCAGCAAAGUUGGAUUGAAUGUUCUCUCUGUUUAAAUGAAAAUAACUAUUCUUAACCUGAACCAAGGCCAAUGUAUUGUGCAACAUGGAUGAGUCAGGUUUUAAAGUAUCACUGCUUUAUCCUUUGGGAUGAACUCAUCUGGGGCUUCGACUCAAGAAACAGCAGGGGAGAUGCUCAAAACAAGCCCGUGAAGCUGAAAAUAGCACACCUCAGUUGCUGCUGCUUUCAAGAUAAAGAUGUCACCAGUGCUUGCCUUCUUGUAUGGUGUUCAUAAAAUGAGAUUAGAGUGAUUUACAAUAGUGAAAGAUGGAACAAGACUCAGAGGAGAUGUGACUCAUUAGACAUCAUCCUGUGACUGUUGGAAGGAACCUGC
rnacentral:lncRNA from 1 species